CUCAGCAAAAUAGCUCCGUAGCUUCAGGGAAAGGGGUGCCCUCUUACUAAAGUGGAUAACAGCGACUAUAAUCUAGACAAUUGUUAGCAGAGACACGGAUAUUUGUAAAGUCGUAAAACCAUGUAUAGAGAGUUGAUACCUAUCCACUACUAAAAGGUAAGGAAGUUGGUGAAUUCACAAUGAUAGGGAAACCAAUGAUGAAGCCCCGGUGAACAGCGGCUGUAACUAUAACGGUUGGUAACGAAAUUCAUUGCCGGAUAGGUUUUAAUUAUAGAUAAAACUUUUUAAAUACAU
rfam:Oryza sativa Japonica Group DNA, chromosome 6, cultivar: Nipponbare, complete sequence.